AUAUUUGUGGUUUAGUGGUAGAAAUCUUGUCUCCUAUACAGGAGACCCAGGUUUGAUUCUUGGCCAGUGCA
rnacentral:tRNA from 1 species